rnacentral:misc_RNA from 1 species
CUGAGUUUUGUCGAAAGACAAUCUCCCACCCUUUGUUAUUGAAACUACAAUUGCUUUGGCGGGUCUGUCGCAAGACCCGGUGGCAUCGUCACUUGAGCUACCCGCCAAAGGUUUUGAACUCUGAAUUUAGUUGUCUGAGUUGAUUAUCAAAAUAA